CUCACUUCUAACUAAACAAAUGUUUUUCUAUCAGAAUCCAUCAGAAACACAGAACUGGAUCUGGAUCUGAACCCAGCAGUGUUUCCUUCAGGAGUGACCAAUCAAAGGGUCAAAUUGUCGACUUUAAAUCAUCUUCUGGUUCAGAGAGACUGGACCAGCAGAGCUCAGAGACUCCCAGUGGUCCGUCUGUCCAGCAGCAUCAAACACAGCUAGACUCCAUCUUUCUGCUGCUGGAGGACGACAUUGUCACUUUUGUCAAGAAGGA